rnacentral:lncRNA from 1 species
ACAAAAUACACUCAACUCACCCAUAUUUCUUGCAUGAGUGGCUCAGCAGAUGAAAUCAAGGUGAAAUGUGUAGCAUGAUAAAGUCGGGAAUAGAUUUAGGGUUGAUCAAAAUGUACAGUGAAUGUUUAUGGGCCUAGCACUCUUCUGCUGCACCACUCUGCUCAGCCUUACAGUGAAUGUUUAAACUAAAAAAUCUUUAUUACUAUAAAAACAGAUUGGUUCUAGUCCCUUCCAAAAUGCCCCUUCUUGCUUAGAACACACUUACCCAAUCAUUCUUGCCACUUUCUGAAGCAGUUCUAGAAGUCUUCUUUCAUGUCUUUAUGAGGUGUGAUCAAAAGUUUGGUGAAUGCUGUUGCUUAGUGCCAUCUAAUCGGAAGGCAGGGUCAUAAAAAUGUUAUGGUAUCUCCUCAUCCACCUGAUUCACCAGAGCUGGCUCUCCCCUGAAGUAAAAACCACCAUGAAAGGCAGUUGGAGGUCUCUAGAGAACAGAAGACUAAGAGAGUCCAUCAGGCAGCUGUGGAAUCACUCCAAGACUGCCAUGGAGAGGUGGAGGAGCCCAGAUGGGUGGUCAUGGAGGACACUUGUGAUUUAUCUGCCCAUCAGCGCCUCCCUCGUCCCCUGGCAGCCUUGUUGGCUUUCAGAAAGAGCAUGCAGAGUGUAUUCUGGAGCAGACCAUUAAGAACACCCACCUGCUAUGGGGGAGGUGAAGUCUUGACAGCCUUCAACCCGAUCCUGUAAUUUCAUUGCUAAGAUUCUCUCUCUCUCUCUCUCUCUCUCUCUCUCUCUCUCUCUGUGUGUGUGUGUGUGUGUGUGUCUCUGUGUCUGUGUCUGUGUCUGUCUCUGUCUCUCUCUUAUUUUUCUUAAAUCAGUGGUAGUAACAACUGUCAGCUGCUAUCAUUUGCAUGUAUUGAAUGCUCACUAUGAAUUGGGCCCUUGGUUCUCAC